GACGAACGCUGGCGGCGUGCUUAACACAUGCAAGUCGAGCGAUGAAGCACCUUCGGGUGUGAAUUAGCGGCGAACGGGUGAGGAACACGUGAAGAAUCUGCCUUCAACUCUGGGAUAACUCCGGGAAACCGGGGCUAAUACCGGAUAUGAGCCUUGAUCGCAUGAUUGGGGCUGGAAAGUUUUUCGGUUGAAGAUGACUUCGCGGCCUAUCAGCUUGUUGGUGAGGUAAUGGCUCACCAAGGNGACGACGGGUAGCCGGCCUGAGGAGGGCGACCGGCCACACUGGGGACUGAGACACGGCCCAGACUCCUACGGGAGGGCAGCAGUAGGGGGAAUAUUGGGCGAAU
rnacentral:rRNA from 1 species